UGCUUUGAUGGAUGGCGACCGGCGCACGGGUGAGUAACACGUAUCCAACCUGCCGACAACACUGGGAUAGCCUUUCGAAAGAAAGAUUAAUACCGGAUGGUAUAGUUUUCCCGCAUGGGAUGAUUAUUAAAGAAUUUCGGUUGUCGAUGGGGAUGCGUUCCAUUAGGCAGUUGGCGGGGUAACGGCCCACCAAACCUACGAUGGAUAGGGGUUCUGAGAGGAAGGUCCCCCACAUUGGAACUGAGACACGGUCCAAACUCCUACGGGAGGCAGCAGUGAGGAAUAUUGGUCAAUGGACGAGAGUCUGAACCAGCCAAGUAGCGUGAAGGAUGACUGCCCUAUGGGUUGUAAACUUCUUUUAUACGGGAAUAAAGUGAGCCACGUGUGGCUUUUUGUAUGUACCGUAUGAAUAAGGAUCGGCUAACUCCGUGCCAGCAGCCGCGGUAAUACGGAGGAUCCGAGCGUUAUCCGGAUUUAUUGGGUUUAAAGGGCGCGUAGGCGGGUUGUUAAGUCAGUUGUGAAAGUUUGCGGCUCAACCGUAAAAUUGCAGUUGAUACUGGCGACCUUGAGUGCAACAGAGGUAGGCGGAAUUCGUGGUGUAGCGGUGAAAUGCUUAGAUAUCACGAAGAACUCCGAUUGCGAAG
rnacentral:rRNA from 1 species